UUAAGCGACUAAGCGUACACGGUGGAUGCCCUGGCAGUCAGAGGCGAUGAAGGACGUGCUAAUCUGCGAAAAGCGUCGGUAAGGUGAUAUGAACCGUUAUAACCGGCGAUGUCCGAAUGGGGAAACCCAGUGUGAUUCGUCACACUAUCGUUAACUGAAUACAUAGGUUAACGAGGCGAACCGGGGGAACUGAAACAUCUAAGUACCCCGAGGAAAAGAAAUCAACCGAGAUUCCCCCAGUAGCGGCGAGCGAACGGGGAGCAGCCCAGAGUCUGAAUCAGCUUGUGUGUUAGUGGAACGGUCUGGAAAGUCCGACGGUACAGGGUGAUAGUCCCGUACACCAAAAUGCACAGGUUGUGAACUCGAAGAGUAGGGCGGGACACGUGGUAUCCUGUCUGAAUAUGGGGGGACCAUCCUCCAAGGCUAAAUACUCCUGACUGACCGAUAGUGAACCAGUACCGUGAGGGAAAGGCGAAAAGAACCCCGGCGAGGGGAGUGAAAAAGAACCUGAAACCGUGUACGUACAAGCAGUGGGAGCACCUUCGGGUGUGACUGCGUACCUUUUGUAUAAUGGGUCAGCGACUUAUAUUCUGUAGCAAGGUUAACCGUAUAGGGGAGCCGCAGGGAAACCGAGUCUUAACUGGGCGUUAAGUUGCAGGGUAUAGACCCGAAACCCGGUGAUCUAGCCAUGGGCAGGUUGAAGGUUGGGUAACACUAACUGGAGGACCGAACCGACUAAUGUUGAAAAAUUAGCGGAUGACUUGUGGCUGGGGGUGAAAGGCCAAUCAAACCGGGAGAUAGCUGGUUCUCCCCGAAAGCUAUUUAGGUAGCGCCUCGUGAACUCAUCUUCGGGGGUAGAGCACUGUUUCGGCUAGGGGGUCAUCCCGACUUACCAACCCGAUGCAAACUACGAAUACCGAAGAAUGUUAUCACGGGAGACACACGGCGGGUGCUAACGUCCGUCGUGAAGAGGGAAACAACCCAGACCGCCAGCUAAGGUCCCAAAGUCAUGGUUAAGUGGGAAACGAUGUGGGAAGGCACAGACAGCCAGGAUGUUGGCUUAGAAGCAGCCAUCAUUUAAAGAAAGCGUAAUAGCUCACUGGUCGAGUCGGCCUGCGCGGAAGAUGUAACGGGGCUAAACCAUGCACCGAAGCUGCGGCAGCGACACUAUGUGUUGUUGGGUAGGGGAGCGUUCUGUAAGCCUGCGAAGGUGGCCUGUGAGGGUUGCUGGAGGUAUCAGAAGUGCGAAUGCUGACAUAAGUAACGAUAAAGCGGGUGAAAAGCCCGCUCGCCGGAAGACCAAGGGUUCCUGUCCAACGUUAAUCGGGGCAGGGUGAGUCGACCCCUAAGGCGAGGCCGAAAGGCGUAGUCGAUGGGAAACAGGUUAAUAUUCCUGUACUUGGUGUUACUGCGAAGGGGGGACGGAGAAGGCUAUGUUAGCCGGGCGACGGUUGUCCCGGUUUAAGCAUGUAGGCUGGUUGUCCAGGCAAAUCCGGAUAAUCAAGGCUGAGGUGUGAUGACGAGGCACUACGGUGCUGAAGUAACAAAUGCCCUGCUUCCAGGAAAAGCCUCUAAGCAUCAGGUAACAUUAAAUCGUACCCCAAACCGACACAGGUGGUCAGGUAGAGAAUACCAAGGCGCUUGAGAGAACUCGGGUGAAGGAACUAGGCAAAAUGGUGCCGUAACUUCGGGAGAAGGCACGCUGGUGUGUAGGUGAAGUCCCUGCGGAUGGAGCUGAGACCAGUCGAAGAUACCAGCUGGCUGCAACUGUUUAUUAAAAACACAGCACUGUGCAAACACGAAAGUGGACGUAUACGGUGUGACGCCUGCCCGGUGCCGGAAGGUUAAUUGAUGGGGUUAUCCGUAAGGAGAAGCUCUUGAUCGAAGCCCCGGUAAACGGCGGCCGUAACUAUAACGGUCCUAAGGUAGCGAAAUUCCUUGUCGGGUAAGUUCCGACCUGCACGAAUGGCGUAAUGAUGGCCAGGCUGUCUCCACCCGAGACUCAGUGAAAUUGAACUCGCUGUGAAGAUGCAGUGUACCCGCGGCAAGACGGAAAGACCCCGUGAACCUUUACUAUAGCUUGACACUGAACAUUGAGCCUUGAUGUGUAGGAUAGGUGGGAGGCUUUGAAGCGUGGACGCCAGUCUGCGUGGAGCCAACCUUGAAAUACCACCCUUUAAUGUUUGAUGUUCUACACGUGUGGCCCCUGACCGGGGGUUGCGGACAGUGUCUGGUGGGUAGUUUGACUGGGGCGGUCUCCUCCCAAAGCGUAACGGAGGAGCACGAAGGUUAGCUAAUCCUGGUCGGACAUCAGGAGGUUAGUGCAAUGGCAUAAGCUAGCUUGACUGCGAGCGUGACGGCGCGAGCAGGUGCGAAAGCAGGUCAUACGUGAUCCGGUGGUUCUGAAUGGAAGGGCCAUCGCUCAACGGAUAAAAGGUACUCCGGGGAUAACAGGCUGAUACCGCCCAAGAGUUCAUAUCGACGGCGGUGUUUGGCACCUCGAUGUCGGCUCAUCACAUCCUGGGGCCUGAAGUAGGUCCCAAGGGUAUGGCUGUUCGCCAUUUAAAGUGGUACGCGAGCUGGGUUUAGAACGUCGUGAGACAGUUCGGUCCCUAUCUGCCGUGGGCGCUGGAGAAUUGAGGGGGGCUGCUCCUAGUACGAGAGGACCGGAGUGGACGCAUCACUGGUGUUCGGGUUGUCAUGCCAAUGGCACUGCCCGGUAGCUAAAUGCGGAAGAGAUAAGUGCUGAAAGCAUCUAAGCACGAAACUUGCCCCGAGAUGAGUUCUCCCUGAGACUUUAAGUCUCCUGAAGGAACGUUGAAGACGACGACGUUGAUAGGCCGGGUGUGUAAGCGCAGCGAUGCGUUGAGCUAACCGGUACUAAUGAACCGUGAGGCUUAACCUU
rnacentral:rRNA from 1 species